CUAAGAAUCUUCCGCAAUGGGCGAAAGCCUGACGGAGCGACGCCGCGUGGACGAAGAAGGCCUUAUCGGUUGUAAAGUCCUGUCAGGGUGGAAGAAUAAGUUCAGAAGGAAAUGACUGAAGAUGACGGUACACCCAGAGGAAGCCCCGGCUAAUUCCGUGCCAGCAGCCGCGGUAAUACGGAAGGGGCAAGCGUUGUUCGGAUUUAUUGGGCGUAAAGCGCAUGCAGGCGGUUUACUAAGUCCAGUGUGAAAUCCUGCAGCUCAACUGCAGAACUGCGCUGGAUACUGGUAAACUAGAGUCAGGGAGAGGAAGAUGGAAUUCCUGGUGUAGGAGUGAAAUCUGUAGAUAUCAGGAAGAACACCAGUGGCGAAGGCGAUCUUCUGGCCUAUGACUGACGCUCAGAUGCGAAAGCUAGGGGAGCGAACG
rnacentral:rRNA from 1 species